rnacentral:snRNA from 1 species
UAACUCUGGUUUCCCUUCAAAACGCAUAAAUCUUUCGCCUUUUACUAAAGAUUUCCGUGGAGGGGAACACUCAAAUGAGUCUUUGAAAUUUUUUGUCCCCAUUCGGUGGGG